rnacentral:rRNA from 1 species
AACGAACGCUGGCGGCGUGCUUAACACAUGCAAGUCGAACGGUAAGGCCCUUAGGGGUACACGAGUGGCGAACGGGUGAGUAACACGUGGGUGAUCUGCCCUGCACUUCGGGAUAAGCCUGGUAAACUGGGUCUAAUACCGGAUAGGACUCCUGGCUUCAUGGUUGGGGGUGGAAAGCUUUUGCGGUGUGGGAUGGGCCCGCGGCCUAUCAGCUUGUUGGGGGGGUAAUGGCCUACCAAGGCGAAGACGGGUAGCCGGCCUGAGAGGGUGACCGGACGCACUAGGACUAGGUUACGGGACGGACUUCUGCGGGAGGAAGCAGAGGGUAAAAGUGCACACUGCGCUCAAUCGUGAUGAAGCGAGGCCGCGUGGGGGGGGACGUCCUUCGGUUUGUAAGCCUAUUUCAGCUAUGACGAAGAGUAAGUGACGGUAGUAGCAGAAGAAGGACCGGCCAUCUACGUGCCAGACGCCGCCGUAAGAC